GGGUGAAGCUAGAGGAAACUCUGGUGGAGGCCCGCAGCGAUACUAACGCGCAAAUCGUUCGU
rnacentral:rRNA from 1 species